ensembl:lncRNA
ACAGCUCUUACAGCCAAUGAGAAUAUGGCUGUUCGGGCAAGCUAGCCAAUGGGAUAGAUCCAUGAUUUGAUUCGUCCCCGCACGUGCAGCUCGGUGACGGUGACUUGUCACUCGAUUGCAUUGGUCAUCAACCGUCUUUUUUACAUGACCACGGAAUCAAAAACAUCAACAACAGCAAAUGAGUGGCGUGUUACGAUCGAAAACACAGUCGGACCUUGAUGCUGUGACAACGGACAAGUCUUCUUCCUCUGUCCUUUUCCCCUGCAUCUGUUCAGUAUGUUCAGUGUUCUUAAAUCAUUUUAUUAGUUACUGUUCUUAUUGUGUUCUUGUUAGUGUGAUGUUUGAAUAAACUUGCCUGUUGCAAUGUUGGUAUAAUGUU